AGCGAACGCUGGCGGCAGGCCUAACACAUGCAAGUCGAACGAACCUUUCGGGGUUAGUGGCGGACGGGUGAGUAACACGUGGGAACGUGCCUUUAGGUUCGGAAUAACUCAGGGAAACUUGUGCUAAUACCGAAUGUGCCCUUCGGGGGAAAGAUUAAUCGCCUUUAGAGCGGCCCGCGUCUGAUUAGCUAGUUGGUUGAGGUAAUGGCUCACCAAGGCGACGAUCAGUAGCUGGUCUGAGAGGAUGAUCAGUCACAUUGGGACUGAGACACGGCCCAAACUCCUACGGGAGGCAGCAGUGGGGAAUCUUGCGCAAUGGGCGAAAGCCUGACGCAGCCAUGCCGCGUGAAUGAUGAAGGUCUUAGGAUUGUAAAAUUCUUUCACCGGGGACGAUAAUGACGGUACCCGGAGAAGAAGCCCCGGCUAACUUCGUG
rnacentral:rRNA from 1 species